CGGAAGAGCGAGGCCAGGCAGAGAGGCUGCCUAGUGCCUCCGCAGCCAGCAGGUGUCCCAGCCUGAGACGGCCGGAACCGAGGGAAUUUUCCUUGAGUUUAGAUAGAUGACCUGACCAUAAACCGGCGACUCGCAGAAAAGCCAAGGGACCUGCCGAGAUUUCAUCUGGGAACAGAUGAAACAUGAGCGCACAGAAUCCGUUCGAAAGGGUAGUGGCAGGAAAGGAAGAAAUCGGCUCCGUGCUUUCUCCUGCCGAGUCAAGCCCGUUUAAUAAAAGAGCUGCAGAACCUUAAUGAUGCCUGUCUGGAAUCAAAGUGCUCAUGAGGACCAUUUUAAUCAUAAGGUGUCAACAUACAGAUGAACACAAGCUUCAGAUACCAUGGGAACACGGUCCAUGUUCCACGACCUUCAGAUAACCGGUACCAGUGAAACUGA